UACGGAGGGGGCUAGCGUUAUUCGGAAUUACUGGGCGUAAAGCGCGCGUAGGCGGAUAAGAAAGUCAGAGGUGAAAUCCCAGGGCUCAACCUUGGAACUGCCUUUGAAACUCCUUGUCUUGAGGUCGUGAGAGGUGAGUGGAAUUCCGAGUGUAGAGGUGAAAUUCGUAGAUAUUCGGAGGAACACCAGUGGCGAAGGCGGCUUACUGGAUCGAUACUGACGCUGAGGUGCGAAAGCGUGGGGAGCAAACAGG
rnacentral:rRNA from 1 species